rnacentral:tRNA from 1 species
GGGGAUGCAGCUCUGUGGUAGAGCACUUGCCUAGCACACAGGGAGGUGCUGGGUUCAAUCCCCAGCAUCACAA